rnacentral:rRNA from 1 species
GUGAUCCGUACCGGACCUCAAACAAAUUGGUUGGAAAGCCAUUUCAUAGAGGGUGAUAAGCCCGUACAUGUUGAGGACGACCGUGUGCAUUGUGAUCCGUUUUCAAAGAGUCGAGUUGUUUGGGAAUGCAGCUCUAAUCGGGUGGUAAAUUCCAUCUAAAGCUAAAUACAGACGAGAGACCGAUAGCGAACAAGUACAGUAAUGGAAAGAUGAAAAGCACAUUGAAAAGUGGUUGAAACAAUACGCGAAACCGUUAAUAGGGAAACGAUGGAGCUUAGACACGCUUGGUAGAGUUCAGCUUGCCUUUGGGUGAGUGUAUUCUUUGCCGUGCGGACCAGCAUCGGUUUGCUUCGCGAUAUAAGGGUGGUAGGAACGUGGCUCUUUCGGGAGUGUUAUAGCCUAUCACUGGAUGCCGUGUCGCAGACCGAGGAACGCAGCACGCCAUUAGGCAGUACCUCUGGGUGCAGAGUGCUUAGGAUGCUGGUAGGAUGAGCUUCAACGACCCGUCUUG